AACGAACGCUGGCGGCAUGCCUAACACAUGCAAGUCGAACGAGACCUUCGGGUCUAGUGGCGCACGGGUGCGUAACGCGUGGGAACCUGCCCUUAGGUUUGGAAUAACUCCCCGAAAGGGGUCCUAAUACCGGAUAAUGUCUUCGGACCAAAGAUUUAUCGCCUUUGGAUGGGCCCGCGUUGGAUAAGCUUGUUGGUAGGGUAAAAGCCUACCAAGGCAAGGAUCCAUAGAUGGUCGAGGAGGAUGAUCAGCCACACUGGGACUGAGACACGGCCCAGAGUCCUAGGGGGGGAGGAGGGGGGGAAUAUUGGAAAAGGGGCGAAAGCCUGAUCCAGCAAGGCCGCGUGAGUGAUGAAGGCCUUAGGGUUGUAAAGCUCUUUUACCCGGGAUGAUAAUGACGGUACCGGGAGAAUAAGCUCCGGCUAACUACGUG
rnacentral:rRNA from 1 species